UAGACCGCCUGGGGAGUACGGCCGCAAGGUUAAAACUCAAAUGAAUUGACGGGGGCCCGCACAAGCGGUGGAGCAUGUGGUUUAAUUCGAUGCAACGCGAAGAACCUUACCUGGUCUUGACAUCCACGGAAGUUUUCAGAGAUGGAUUUGUGCCUUCGGGAACCGUGAGACAGGUGCUGCAUGGCUGUCGUCAGCUCGUGUUGUGAAAUGUUGGGUUAAGUCCCGCAACGAGCGCAACCCUUAUCCUUUGUUGCCAGCGAUUAGGUCGGGAACUCAAAGGAGACUGCCAGU
rnacentral:rRNA from 1 species